rnacentral:rRNA from 1 species
UGGGGAAUUUUGGACAAUGGGCGAAAGCCUGAUCCAGCAAUGCCGCGUGUGUGAAGAAGGCCUUCGGGUUGUAAAGCACUUUUGUCCGGAAAGAAAUCCUUGGCUCUAAUACAGUCGGGGGAUGACGGUACCGGAAGAAUAAGCACCGGCUAACUACGUGCCAGCAGCCGCGGUAAUACGUAGGGUGCAAGCGUUAAUCGGAAUUACUGGGCGUAAAGCGUGCGCAGGCGGUUUGCUAAGACCGAUGUGAAAUCCCCGGGCUCAACCUGGGAACUGCAUUGGUGACUGGCAGGCUAGAGUAUGGCAGAGGGGGGUUAGAAUUCCACGUGUAGCAGUGAAAUGCGUAGAGAUGUGGAGGAAUACCGAUGGCGAAGGCAGCCCCCUGGGCCAAUACUGACGCUCAUGCACGAAAGCGUGGGGAGCAAACAGGAUUAGAUACCCUGGUAGUCCACGCCCUAAACGAUGUCAACUAGUUGUUGGGGAUUCAUUUCCUUAGUAACGUAGCUAACGCGUGAGGUUGACCGCCUGGGGAGUACGGUCGCAAGAUUAAAACUCAAAUGAAUUGACGGGGUCAUAGCUGUUUCCU